AGCAUAUUUUUGAAUCUAUGGCACGAAGAAUUAAUGAAGUUCUGAAGGCAAAAGGAUGUCCAACACAGCACUAGGAAGGAGAUAAAGUGAGUACUCAAGUAUAUACUCACUCACCACUAAUCUCUGAGUAUAAAUAUCUAUAAUGAGCCAACCUUUAUUUACAGGGACUGCAGUCUCUUUCACACCAGCAGGAGACAAAGGCAGCUUUGUGUGCAGCAUUAGUGCAGAUUUUACUUUAAAAACAAAAAAACACAAAUGUCUGAGCUAUUUUUUGGUCUCAGUACUUCCUGAGAUUUUAUCACAUGACAAAAAAAGGGAAGUUAAUCAGUUAAAGUAAUGCUGUGUGACUUAUUUAUAAUAAAUACUGUUCCACUUUGAUACACUUCAUUUCAAUCUGGAACUGGCCCAUUCAUGAUGACUUUAAUAUGAGUCAUUAAAUCUUUUAUUCUCAGAAUCAAGGGAGGCAGAUCUUUCUGAAAAAAAACCUCAGUCAUACAGGAAAUGAUUUUUUUCUAGAUCUUUAAGCAAAAACAGAACUUUGUCCGGUAGAGGAGGAAAAAAAACAGAAGAAAAAAUGCUUGCAUGAGCAGUGUUAGCCACCACAGAAAUCAGGAAACAGACUGCCCCAUACUGUCUGACUGGGAAGUGAUCUCUGGGAGGUGAUUCAACCAAAUAAUAGGAAUAAAAAAAACUAAACAAAAUAGAGAGAAGUUAAAGAUAUAACCUUAACAAAAUCCUCCUGGUUUGGGUUUAAAGAAUCGACAAUUAAGUCCACAUUUAUUUCAUGCAUUACUGAGGCAACAACACCUGUCCUACCUCCCCCUUUAAUGACCUCUGCCCAUCGCCAGCUUCAGCUAAGCAAUGUGCUGACAAAGUAUGUGCAUACAGAGAUGGUCAGUCUACCUCUCAUACAUAUUUAUACACAAUAAUGGGUUUAUAACUUAAAGGAUUCCAGUCUGUCACCAUUAUUAUGAAUUAUUCAACAAUCACAAAUGGCUAUACGGUAGAUGGGCCAAACGCUGUGCGAUGAAAAUUCAUUUUAUUUGGCUGGGCUCGGGUUUCGGUGAAUUUACGUCGUCUGCGUUUUCUCAGCUUUUCUCUCCUAUUCAUGCAUCAUCUUUGUGUGCAAGCUUCCUC
ensembl:lncRNA